UACCACCUUUGAUUUUGAAGUGAUAUCCAAAAACAAAGAAAAGAUAUAGGAGUUGUAUACUAAGACUUUGAAGAACUUUUAAAGGAUGAAUUUUUUAAAGAAGAUUCAAAGAGAAUGGAAAAAUAAGCCUUUUUGAAGAAGAUGGAGUAAAGGCUAAGAAAUCAAAUGGCUCCAAAUUAAUUAAUUAACAAAUUUGAGACUAAAUUUAGAUAAUUGCUAUAACAAGAGAGCUAGCUUUUAGAAACAAGAAAAACUAUGUUAUUCUUGUAAAUAACU
rnacentral:lncRNA from 1 species